GGUGCGGUUGGGCGGGGGGGCCUCCUAUAACCCUCAGGACGUUUUAUCUGUGGGCCCUCCGAUAGCGUCACAAGUGGGCGACUGAGCCUUGGCGGUGGUGGCCGAGGCGGCGAAGGCGGCAGCGGCGGCGACAGCUCUGGGGUUUGCGUCUCGGGGUGUGUCGGCCGCCGCUGCUGCUUGGGCCUGGUAUGUACAAAUGGCUGGUUAGGAUUCUCGGCACCAUUUUCCGUUUCUGUGACCGGCCGGUGCCCCGUACCCGGGCCCUCCUGAAGAGGCGGCGCUCGAACAGCACUUUGUUUUCUACAGUGGACGCUGAUGAAAUACCAGCUAAAAGACCAAGAUUAGAUUAUUUCAUUCACCAAGUCAAAACCAGUCUCUACAAUGCUGCCAGCUUAUUUGGAUUCCCAUUCCAGCUGACCACAAAACCCAUGGUAACUUCUGCUUGUAAUGGAACACGGAAUGUGGCCCCUUCAGGAGAGGUAUUUUCGAACUCUUCAUCUUGUGAACUGACAGGUUCUGGAUCCUGGAACAACAUGCUGAAACUGGGUAAUAAAUCUCCUAAUGGAAUAAGUGACUAUCCAAAGAUCAGAGUGACAGUAACCCGAGAUCAGCCCCGCAGAGUCCUGCCUUCCUUUGGUUUUACUUUGAACUCAGAGGGGUAUAACAGAAGACCAGGUGGCCGUCGUCAUAGCAAAGGCCCUUCAGAGAGUUCCUUAACCUGGAAGCCUCAGGAACUGGUUUUAACAGAGAUGAUUUCUGAAGAGGGUGGCAAGGGUCUGAGGCGUCCCCACUGUACCGUGGAGGAGGGUGUUCAAAAAGAGGAAAGAGAGAAAUACCGAAGGUUAUUGGAGCGACUUAAAGAAAGUGGUCAUGGAAACUCUGUUCCUCCUGUAACUCCAACUUAUCACAGCUCUCAAAGAAGUCAGAUGGACACAUUAAAGACCAAAGGCUGGGGCGAAGAGCAAAGUCACGGAGUCAAAACAACUCAGUUUGUUCCAAAACAAUACAGAGUUGUUGAAACAAGGGGACCUUUAUGCUCAGUGAGAAGUGAGAAGAGGUGUUGUUCAAAGGGGAAAAUUUCUGAUUCAGAGAGGACAGUUGGAAUCAGACUUGAAAAUGAAGGUAGGAGGGGACACCAGCUGGAACCUGACCUAUCCGAAGAGGUGUCAGCCCGACUCCGCCUGGGCAGUGGGAGCAAUGGCUUACUCAGGAGGAAAAUGUCAAUACUUGAGACAAAAGAAAAACAUUGCUCAGGCAAAGAGAGGGAUAAAAGGAUGGAUGAUCUUCUUGAACUUACAGAGGACAUGGAAAGGGAAAUCAGUAAUGCCCUAGGUCAUGGCCCACAGGAUGAGGUCCUAAGUAGCGCUUUCAAGUUGCGAAUCACUCGAGGUGAUAUCCAGACCUUGAAGAACUACCACUGGCUCAAUGAUGAAGUCAUUAAUUUUUACAUGAAUCUUCUGGUGGAAAGAAACAAAAAACAAGGGUAUCCAGCACUUCACGCAUUCAGUACUUUUUUCUAUCCCAAAUUAAAGUCUGGUGGUUACCAAGCAGUGAAAAGAUGGACCAAAGGGGUCAAUCUCUUUGAACAGGAACUUAUUCUGGUGCCUAUUCAUCGGAAGGUACAUUGGAGCCUGGUGGUGAUAGACCUAAGAAAAAGGUGUCUUAAAUAUCUGGAUUCUAUGGGACAAAAGGGCCACAGGAUCUGUGAGAUUCUCCUUCAGUAUUUACAGGAUGAAAGUAAGACCAAAAGAAAUAUUGAUCUGAAUCUUCUAGAGUGGACCCACUACAGCAUGAAGCCACAUGAGAUUCCUCAACAGUUGAAUGGGAGUGAUUGUGGAAUGUUUACUUGUAAAUAUGCAGAUUAUAUCUCUAGGGACAAACCUAUCACAUUUACUCAGGUUUCUCCUCCUCUUUGGUGACCAGUGAGGCAGUUGCAUAUCUCCGAACUCCAGUGUUCACUAGCUCCUGAGUAUUACUGAUAUUUUUGGCCAAAGGAGGAGGCAAGUAAGAGUGUGUGUGACAGCCCGGGGAAAUCAGGCCUUGUGAGAAGCACCAGAUGCCUCUCUUCCGGAAGAAGAUGGUGUGGGAAAUCCUUCAUCAGCAGCUGCUGUGAGAGCGCCCCGCCCAGUCCCUCGAGCUGCUGGUGGUUCUGUCACGGAGGACGGCUGUUUCCAUAUACCUCAUGCGUCGUGGGUUCAGAAGUCCCUGCAUCACCUCUGUUGGCUCACGGGUCCUGAGCUGUAGGACGUGCGCGCCGGCCUCGCCUGCACCCUGGUCCUGACGUGGUGUGUGGACGUUCUGCCUGCAACCCCCUGUGUAAGCCUGUGCCUGCUCGGAGCCUGGACUGUUCGACCCACACGAGGACAAACGCUCACUAAUAACUCUUUUUUUUGAAAGAUCUUUUUUUCCCUAUGAAUGUGGGAAAUGCAGGAUUGAUUCUACGAUGUGUCUUCUG